GUGGGAUACUUAUCACUUUCGCUUAGCCACUGAGAUUGCUCCCAACAGCUAGUAUCCAUCGUUUACGGCGUGGACUACCAGGGUAUCUAAUCCUGUUCGCUACCCACGCUUUCGUCCAUCAGCGUCAAUCCAUUAGUAGUAACCUGCCUUCGCAAUUGGUAUUCCAUGUAAUCUCUAAGCAUUUCACCGCUACACUACAUAUUCUAGUUACUUCCUAAUAAUUCAAGUUUAACAGUAUCAAUGGCCGUUCCACCGUUGAGCGAUGGGCUUUCACCACUGACUUAUUAAACCGCCUACGGACCCUUUAAACCCAAUGAUUCCGGAUAACGCUUGGAUCCUCCGUAUUACCGCGGCUGCUGGCACGGAGUUAGCCGAUCCUUAUUCUUACGAUACCGUCAAGCUCCUAUACAUAGGAGUGUUUCUUCUCGUACAAAAGCAGUUUACAAUCCAUAGGACCGUCAUCCUGCACGCGGCAUGGCUGGAUCAGGCUUGCGCCCAUUGUCCAAUAUUCCUCACUGCUGCCUCCCGUAGGAGUCUGGUCCGUGUCUCAGUACCAGUGUGGGGGAUCUCCCUCUCAGGACCCCUACCCAUCGUAGCCUUGGUAAGCCGUUACCUUACCAACUAGCUAAUGGGACGCAUGCUCAUCUUUUACCGUUGUGACUUUAAUUGCUCGAUGAUGCCAUCAUGCAAUGCUAUGAGGUAUUAAUCCAAAUUUCUCUGGGCUAUCCCUCUGUAAAAGGCAGAUUGCAUACGCGUUACGCACCCGUGCGCCGGUCUCUAUAUCCGAAGACAUAUACCCCUCGACUGCA
rnacentral:rRNA from 1 species